GUGGGGGAAUGAGGAAGGAGAGAGAAUGCACUGCAGUUAAGUGUUAUUAUUAUUAUUAUUUUUUUCUGUCUCAGAGGUGGUAAAAUGGUCUUCCUCCCGGGAAGUCACAAGACUGUUGUGAAGCCCAUGUAAGAUAAAGGAAUUUAGGAACCUAAACCAUUUAUUUAUUCAACAGAUACUAUUUCCGCAUCUGAUCUGUUCAGGUCUUGGCCACGUGUCCCACGUGCAGAAUGGGGAAGCUACAGUCCCUGUGGAGGAAGAGCUGCAGGCUUGGGGGAGAAGCAGGUAAAAAUGAUGACUAAAGGCCCUGCGGGGGAGAAGAAGAUGGUGUGUGAGAAAAUUACCAGAAGACUGAUACUGUAACUGCACACGGAUCAAGGAAUGGAUGGAACAACAAGGAAGGGG
rnacentral:lncRNA from 1 species